rnacentral:rRNA from 1 species
UGGGGAAUAUUGGGCAAUGGGGCGCAAGCCUGACCCAGCAACGCCGCGUGAAGGAAGAAGGCUUUCGGGUUGUAAACUUCUUUUAAGAGGGAAGAGCAGAAGACUGUACCUCUAGAAUAAGCCACGGCUAACUACGUGCCAGCAGCCGCGGUAAUACGUAGGUGGCAAGCGUUGUCCGGAUUUACUGGGUGUAAAGGGCGUGCAGCCGGGAAUGCAAGUCAGAUGUGAAAUCCAUGGGCUUAACCCAUGAACUGCAUUUGAAACUGUAUUUCUUGAGUGUCGGAGAGGUAGACGGAAUUCCUAGUGUAGCGGUGAAAUGCGUAGAUAUUAGGAGGAACACCAGUGGCGAAGGCGGUCUACUGGACGAUAACUGACGCUGAGGCGCGAAAGCGU